GAAGAAGAAGAGAGAGAUGUGUAAUUGUGGGUGUGUUCUAUUCCACCCCAUUAUGCCUUUAUUUAUAGUAGUAGGUAAGGUUAAUUCCUUGCCCUUUAGGAUUACAACAUUUAAUAGGUAAUCUACUCCUAAUAGGAAUAUAAGAGAUAUUCCAAGAUAUACUAGGAUUUGCACAAUCACAUUCCUAAUUUACUACGACUGCAACACUCCCCCUUGAGUGUGUAAAUACUCAAGUAAAUGGCACAUCAGGUCUUCAGUAAUGAAGUAAGUAUAGUUGAUGAAGUCGUCGACACAAUGAGUGAAUGCGAGUCUCAAAUCAACGGAAUAAUGCAUAAAAAAUAAAACUCACAAAACCUCGCUUUAGUAAAACCCAAGGUGGGAGACAACCCAUAGACUAAGGAGAAAAGUGAAAAGUUGAAUUAAGUCAAAACUAUACGUCUUUUGGACGCAAGUAAAAGAGCUCAAAAAGGUAUGAUCAGCCCAGGAUGGGUGCCUCGUUAAAACCUAGUUAGGUAGCAAAAACCCAGUGGGAAAAAUGCUCCUAAUCGUAAGGAAAAAGAGUACAUUAAGAUCUAGUGAGUAUACUUCUGGAUACUCCCCCUGAGUUUGACAUAACUUCCAAAUGAGAACUACAAGCAUUGCAUAUGAAUAGUUAGGUAUACCAAUUCCUCGGAUAAGCUUCUGGAAGGUUGACUUCUGUAGUGACGUCGUGUAAAGGUCGGCAAGGUUGUUUGGGAUCGGCUUGCAUGAUUUCAAUCUCCUGAUGCUUUGCUGAUGUAGAUGUGGACGCAAUAUGUCUUGGUGUUGACUUCAUUGAUGUAUCAUGGCUUGGUCGGGUUGAUACAUGCGGCAUAGUCUUCAUGGAUCGUCAUCGGGACUCAACGAUGGAUGAAAACACAGCAAGUACUUCGAAUAUGCUCAACAAGAACUUCUAACCAUGUCUCACUUGUGGCAUAGUGAAGUAAAGUGAGUCUUGGAACAAUUCGAAGAUUUUGCAACUAAAGUCAUAUCAUGGACCUCCAAGAUAUUGCAAUAUCCCUAACGGUAAAGACAUAACCAUUUGGAGAUUUUGCCUUGUGCAGGUUUGAUAAGUAACAUGUGUCAGCAUAACAAACAAGGCAAGCAUCAUUCUGAGGAUCAGGGGGUUGGAUCCGCUGAGAUGCGUUGGGAUUCACCCAUGUAGUACCUUCAGGGUAUGUCUUUAAUACCAAUUCAGUAGAUGCGUGUAGGCGCGGUGCUGCAUCUUGAUCGGAUCAUAUUUAUAUAUAUUUUUACUUCAAAUUCACUCGUCUUUCUUGGUUAGUUCCUUAUAUUUUUGAGCUAUUUACGUUAUUUUGUGUUUAUAGGAUCUGUUAUGCAAAGAAAAUAAAAAUAGCACAAAUGAGUUUUAAAUAAUAAACAGAAAAGUGGAACACGGAUGGACCACUAGAAAUAUAAUGGAGCGCAUAAAAAAUAUAUGGGGGGAAAAAACACACGGAACAGAGAAGGGAAGUGAGGCGCAGAGACUGUUGGGCACGGAAAGAAUAAAGGCUGCCUUUGGCAGCGUAAGAGAUGGCAGGAGAAGCACGGGAAGAAGAGGAGCACAGAGGCAGAGGCUUCACUCCAUUCUUAUUGGUGUUAUCUUCUCAAACUCAUGUUUAAUUUUUGGUUUAAUUUGAAAAUAAUGUGUAACUAAAUUUAUUUUGGCUAGAGGUUAAUUCAAAGCCAUGAAUAU
rnacentral:lncRNA from 1 species